GUGUUUCACAGCCAAAGUGACUAACAACAAUGAGAAUCUUAAUUCAACAGCUGGAGGAUCAAAGGUGGAUGUUGUCCAAAGUCAUCUGCAGGUGCUGAUUACUCUGGGUGAUUUAAUUUGUCUUUUUGCCUUUUCGUGAGAUGGAAUAAUUGGCGGCUGUGCCGCUCCAUUAGCUCUGGGCAUCUACCCUUGCCAUGGCGUGAUUGGGCUGUCACGGCUAUGCAAACAAUGUUUGAUUGGGCUGAAGUGGUGCUUGAAGGGGGCUUAAUUUAAUCCAAGUCCGACUCUCUCCACUCAGUAAUGAAUCCUUAAAUCUAAAGAAAGUAGCAUGCCUAAAGCAAGAAUUCAAGCAGUCAUGACAGCUUGCACUUUUAUUCUUCUUAUCAAAUAUGCCCUGUGCUCAUUUAACACUGAACUACCC